UACGUAGGGGGCAAGCGUUGUCCGGAUUUAUUGGGCGUAAAGAGCGUGUAGGCGGCCAGACAGGUCCGUUGUGAAAACUAGAGGCUUAACCUCUAGACGUCGAUGGAAACCGUCUGGCUAGAGUCCGGAAGAGGAGAAUGGGAUUCCUGGUGUAGCGGUGAAAUGCGCAGAUAUCAGGAAGAACACCCGUGGCUAAGGCGGUUCUCUAGUACGGUACUGACGCUGAGACGCGAAAGCGUGGGGAGCGAACAGG
rnacentral:rRNA from 1 species